rnacentral:lncRNA from 1 species
AUGUCUGGCUGUAAUUGUGGAAGUAGUUGCAACUGUGGUGAUAGCUGCAAAUGCAACAAAAGGUCUAGUGGAUUGAGCUACUCGGAAGUGGAAACCAAAGAAACAGUGAUUCUUGGCGUGGGUCCGGCGAAGAUCCAGUUUGAAGGUGAUGAAAUGAGCGUUGCUUCAAAGGAAGGUGGGUGCAAGUGUGGUGAUAACUGCACUUGUGACCCUUGCAACUGCAAAUGA